rnacentral:rRNA from 1 species
AUUGAACGCUGGCGGCAUGCCUAACACAUGCAAGUCGAGCGAGCGGCGGACGGGUGAGUAAUGUAUGGGGACCUGCCUAGUGGAGGGGGAUAACUACUGGAAACCGUAGCUAAUACCGCAUACCAUCAGAUUGACCCAUAUUGGAUUAGCUUGUAGGUGGGGUAACGGCUCACCAAGGCGACGAUCCCUAGCUGGUCUGAGAGGAUGAUCAGCCACACUGGGACUGAGACACGGCCCAGACUCCUACGGGAGGCAGCAGUGGGGAAUCUUGCACAAUGGGGGAAAGCCUGAUGCAGCCAUGCCGCGUGUAUGAAGAAGGCCUUCGGGUUUUAAAGUACUUUCGGUCGGGAGGCGUUAUCGAAAGAAGAAGCCCCGGCUAACUCCGUGCCAGCAGCCGCGGUAAUAC